UUGGUUCUUGGAGGGGGAGGGGAGGAGCUGCAUUCUCCAGAGGACUUUGCGUGGAGAGGGAAAAAGGAGGAGCUCCUUGCAGGUCUGGAAACCCUCUCUUUGUUUCGCUGCCGAGGAGUGCAUGGUUCUCCUGCAGUUUUAGACUUUGCCUGCCUCAGCGAGAGAUGUCGUGCUGCAGACCCUGUGUCCCAUCUCCCUGCGGUGCCUCUGGCCCGACCCCACUGGCAAGCAGCUGCAGUGAGCCAUGGGUCGCCCGCUGCGCUGACUCGACUGUGGUAAUCGAGGCCUCCCCUGUCGUGGUGACCCUGCCGGGCCCCAUCCUCACCUCUUAGAGCACAGCUGUGGGAUCCUCUCUGUCAGCUGCUGUAGGCAGCUCCCUCAGCACCGCAGGCGUUCCCAUCUCUUCUGGGGGCUCCCUUGGUCUGCAGGGUUAUGGCUGUGUCUGCCCCACCCAUGCUACAUUCUGAACUGCUAAAGCCACUGGAUCAUCCUCUUUGGAGCAGACUUCCCAGACAAAAGCAGCUUGGAGCAGGAACAGUGGCAUGGCUACAGCUUGCACAUGAGCUGGUCCCUCCCUCUUGAGUACUGCCAACCUUCAGCUACACCUUCAAAGUCACUCAGGAAGGUCUCUGCAUCAUCCCCCGUGGCCAGCUCCUGAAGAAAGGGGGCUCUGCAGGUGGGCUCUGGAGGCACUGACAUGGGGAAUGGUAUGCAAGUCAAAACCUGCAGGAAUGUCCUCCUCCACCCCACCCUGCUGAGACCUGCUUAAGGGUGGCCCCAGAGAAGUGGCCACACUUUGAGGCAGUAGAUGGAAAUAUAUUGUGUCAUACUGGUUAACAUGGUUGGGGGUUGGGACACUCAGUGCUCUGGUACAUGGGCUUUUGGCAGGAUGUAUUCCUGCCACGAGACAUAAUGACAGUACAAAGGUCAAUACAUGCAGGGUGGACAGCUGGAUAUAGAGAUGUGGGCAAUUAGACUGGAUGAUCUUGGAGAUCUUUUCCAACCUUGGUGAUUCUAUGAUUCUAUGAUUCUGUUCUAUGUGUGUGGUACUUUCUUCCCAAGAGAACUAAGACAAAGAACGAAAAAAGGAAAGAAAUCUAUCCUUUCUCCUUUGUAUCUUGCACAAGGCAAGAGACUGUGAGCAGUGCUGGCUUUGUUGUCACCAGAUGCAUUGUGAAGUAACAGCUCGAACUGCAAAGAGUUAAAGCAGAGUGCCUGCAAACCAUGGGCAGACUCGUGCAUUGGAUUCUACAGAAUAUCUUCAAAGCCCAAGAAAACAACACUUUUUUGAAAGAUAAGAGGCUUUGUGGGCAAACAGAAUUUUGGCACUUUUGGCUGACAGUUGCAUAUGAAAGUGGAGUUUGAACAGACAGGAAUUCUUUGUGCACAAAGAAGUACUGCCCACCUCAUGCCUGUAGCAUGCAUGACACUCUUAGAACAGCUCACCGAUGGUGAUACCUCUGAGUGAGCUUUACCUUCCGCAAAUGUUCAGGUGAUACUGCUUGUAUGGGAUGUUUCAUGGUCCUGGCUGACCUUUGCCUAUCUUAAGAAGAACUGCCUGAACCAGUUUGGUACCUGAUGAAUGUGGAGAUGGGCAUGGGGCUGGUGGCAGGGAACACAGAUCUCCAUCAGCAUGCCUCCAGAUACCUCUCUCUGCCUUUCUGUAGUAGGCCUUACCACUUCCGUAGCCCUCCAUGUACAGCUGAGGCUUGAUGGGAAACUAAAGAAAAGUUAAUUUCAGAGUCACUGGUCUGCACAUGCCCAGGGAUGAGAUGAGAGCAGUGUGGAAUGGAAGAGCAAAUGUCUUCAUCUUGAUCCAUAGAGAAAAUCAUCAGACCCGUGGCAUGUGCAGAUUGUGCAGGGAAAGCUAAAAUUUCAGGGGAAAAAAAAGGACCAUAAGGAGAUUCAGGCUGGGAAGUAUCAUCUCUUUAAUGAGAGCAGGGUGUGUGUUUUCAGGGGGGAAGGGAAGAGUGAGGAAAGCACAGGAAGAAUAAGAGCAAGGAAAACACAAGUUCUAAGAAUGACAUGACUCCCUUUCAUUUAGAGUGAGAGACAGGUGUCCCAUACACAAGGAAAUCAGAGAAUCAUAGAAUGGUUUGGGAUGGAAGGUACCUCAAAGAUCAUAUAGUUUCAACAUCUUGGCUGUUGGCAAGGAUGCCACCCACCAGAUUCGGCUGCCCAGGGCCCCAACCAAGCUAGUCUUGAAUGCCUUCAGGGGUUAGGGCGUCCACAACUUCCUGAAUACCCUGUUCCAGUGCCUCACCACCCUCUGUGUGACCAGUAGCCAGCUGGACUUCAUUCACCACCACUCUCUGGGUCCGACCAUCCAGGCAGUUUUUCACCCAGGAAAGAGUAUAGUCAUGGGCUGCCAUCUUCUCCGGGAGAAUACUGUGGGAGACAGAGUCAAAAGCUUUACUAACAUCUGGGUAGAUUACAUCCACAGCCCUUCCAUUGUUCAGUAGGCAGGUGACCUGGUCAUAGAAUGAGGUGAAAUUAUUGAAACAGGAGCAGCCUUUCAUGAACCCAUGCUGGCUAGACCUGAUCCCCUGGUUGUCCCACACAUCAUAUGGUCAUAGUCAAGAUGAUCUGCUCCACGACCUCCCCCAUUACUGAAGUCAGUUUGAGAGGCUUGUAGUUCCCCAGAUUCUCCUUCCAACCCUUUUCGUAGAUGGACAACACAUUAGCAAUUCCCCAGCAUCUGGGACCACCCAGAUUGACCUGAAAUGCUGAUAUAUGAUGGCAAGUAGCUUAGCAGUCACUUCUGCCAACUCCCUCAGUACCCUAGGGUGGAUACCAUCUCAACUUGUGAUAGUCCAGGUGGGGUAGCAGGUCACUAUCUCUUUCCUCCUAACUGUGGGGAGUUGUUUCUGCUCCCCAUCGCUGUCUUCCAGCUUUUGGGGACGUGUACUCUGGGGAUAACUAGCUUAACUAUUAAUCAUAGAAUCAUAGAAUGAUAGAAUGGUUCUAUGAUUAAUAGUAAUUAAGUACAGAAGUAAAGAUGGCAUUGAGAAACCUGGCCUUUUCCUUGUCUUCAGUGAUAACAUUCUCCACCAUAUCCAAUAAAGGUAUGAAAUUCUCCUUAGCCAACCUCUAAGCAUUGUAGUGCUUUUGGUGUUAAUUGUCUUUCAGAGGUUAGAUCUGGGUCUCCUUUGAGUAGUCAGAAUAGAGGGUGCAGCUCUUGAGCAGUAAUACCCAAAAGCAGUUGUAACCAGUUGAUGGUUCCUAAUAAUUUUUGCAGAUCAUUUAAUGUCUGCACAUGGGGUACUAAUUUGAGGAUUGUGGCUGAAUGGUAUGAGAUGUAAUUUUCCACCCUAAAUAUUUCCAUGGAGAACUGAGUUGCACCUUCAGCUAUUUGUAAACUGACAGAUUGAACUCCCUGUCAGAUGAGCAGUAAAGCGUCCUUUAGACUCUCUUCUUGUUCUGCUGCGAUUAAUAUAUCAUCUGUGUCAUGAUAAAUAAGCAUGUGAGGUCUAGCUUUUUGUACUGGUUGUAAUGCAUUUGCCACUGUCAAUCGGCAGAUUGUUGGACUACUUUCAGAGCACUGCCUAUCAUCUGUGCCUGCUCUUGAGUUGCUGCCUGAGCCCCUUCCCUCAUGAGCUCCUCCAUACCAGUUUGAUGAAGUUAGCUAGAUUAUCCAUAGUCUGGACGAUGGCCUGCUCUCAGUACUCAGUCAUAAACAAGUAUAUUGCGUGGGAGAUAGAAUCAUUUGUCAGAAGAUUUUCCAACCAUGAGAAGUCAUAACAGCUGUCACUGAUUGUAACCAAAAGAUUAUACGUAAGGGUUGACUGAAUUCCAUCAUCUUUCAGCAACUUCCUUAGCUCCUUCACUGCCUCAUAAGGCAGGGAUUCCCACCGGGGGGGCUGAUUUGCAUGAUACAUCACAGGAAAGGCUUGCAACAUAUCAGCAUCACCCCGUGAUAUUGCUUCUUUUCUGCACUGCUCUACAGCACUGUAGUACGCUGUAGAAGAGAAAUUUUUCCUUCCCAUCCCCUUCAAAUUGUCGUCAGGAGGGAAAACAUCCGGUUUGUUCUCCGGAUCUACUGGACCAGGAUCAAAAAGAUCCUCUGGUUCUGGUCCAUCCUUGUCGUUAACUAAAUUACAUCUGAGUGGCAGGUGAUGGAUGGGCGGGGAGCAGAGGGCAGCCGUGGGGCAGGGACAAUCCGGAGUGGACUGUGGCCGCGGGGCUGUGGGCCCUCACAGCAGCGGCAGUGGCGCUCUCCCGGGGCUGCAAUUUUUCUUCUCCCCAACCAGGGGAGGGGUUGGAGUCGCAGAUCGGGACUGGGCAGGAGCUGCUUCCCAUGCCAAGGGGUGGCAGCGGGAGUGGGGGAGAUGGGGAACAGUUGCAAGAACUUGUCCUUCCCUGUCAAA